CUUACAUUUUAGGUUACCUAAGGGGACUCUCCUAAGGAGCUGGCUCACCAAAUCACGUCCCCGGCUACUCCUGUUCAUCGCUGGUUUAAAACGACCUCAGGUCACUCUGAUGCGGAGAAAGAGGAUGAAACGUACCAAAGUAGCAAAGGCCACGUAAGCGGUAAAUAGAGUAAUAGAGGUGAGAGGGAGAGAGGAAUCCAUGGUGAGAUAAGGCACUGUGCAUUGUGUAACUAUGUAGUAAUGAUGGGUAGCUGUGUAUGGAGGAAUUAUGGAGUAACAAAUAUGGUACUGUGUAUUGUGUAAUAACGGAGAGACGAUCUGACACUGUGUACUGUGUAAUAACGGAGAGACGAUAGGACGCUGUGUAUUGUGUAAUAACAGAGAGACAACAGGACACUGUGUAUUGUGUAAAAACGGAGAGACGAUCUGAUGCUGUGUAUUGUGUAAUAACGGAGAGACGAUCUGACGCUGUGUAUUGUGUAAUAACGGAGAGACGAUCUGACGCUGUGUAUUGUGUAAUAACGGAGAGACGAUCUGAUGCUGUGUAUUGUGUAAUAACGGAGAGAUGAUAGGACACUGUUGUAGCGGACCCCUGCUAACCCGACCUGUUACCUACACUAAUUCCUUGCCUUCAGCCCCUUAGGAACCACUCAGAGUGUAAAGGGACCCAUUUCCGCCCCAGUAACACGAUUUUAUUAGCCACACGUGGCUUUUAUGCACACACACCUACAAAGACACAUCCCACAAUCCUUCCCCUCCCCGAGGUCCCAGCACGGGAAGGGACUCUGUUCCCUUUGUCCCCAAAGCCCGCCACCUGGGGUUCCCCACACCAACCGCCUCUGUGCCUGGGAGUCUAGGCGUGGGAAAAAGAGACCAUCCCUUUGUCUCCCAAGCACAGAAAACUUCGCCCGCGGGAAAAGAGCUGGUCUCUUUGUCCAUCGGUCUCAUGAGAGCCCACCAAACUCGCCAGUGCCUCAGAAGUGUCCAUACCAAUCUCAGGUAUCCUCGCCUUAGUCUCUCGAUUGACUAGUCUCCGCUCGCGAGGUCCUGGUGUGAAACCAUGACAAGGGAAGCUUCUCCUUUCCCGGUCCGAAUGCUCCCCCUGGAUGGCGUUCUGUACGAAUGGCGGCCACCCAGGAGAGCACUCAUUGAUGAUUUACACCUAUGUUGCGGGCGCUAGUGUUCUGAAUAAUUAGUGUGAAUGUUCUAAUGGGUCACCGGGGAGGCCCUCGUUCAGGAUACGAACGAGUCGAGAAACAAUCCACGAAUGCUCCCCCUGGUGGCGUUCGCCUGUACGAAUGGCGGCCACCCAGGGAAGCACUCAUUAAUUGUUUCCCUUGCAAUUUUGAAACUUAUGUUGCGAGGAGAUUGGGAGGUGUGAACAUGCUAUACUAACAUUCUAAAUGAGGUAUUGGGGUAGUCUCCAUUCGGGAGGUGAAUGUCCUCCAGAGCGGAGAGCGGGCAUAACAAACGAAAAAGGGAAAAUACAUGUGAAAGAAAAGGGAAAUCCAUGAAUAGGCAGUGGUUCUGCCAUAGCUGUGUAUUGUGUAAUAACGGAGAGACGAUAGGACGCUGUGUAUUGUAUAAUAAUGGAGAGACAAUCGGACGCUGUGUAUUGUGUAAUAACAGAGAGACGAUCGAACACUGUGUAUGAUGUAAUAACAGAGAGACAAUCGGACGCUGUUGUGGUGAAAGUAACCUCGCCAUGGGCGCCUGGAGGAGCCUGCUUGCCAGCCUCUUGCCCCUGGACUAUGAGCCCUGUAAAAGCCAUAUGAAAAGACUUAGUUCGUGCCAUUUUCCCAUGCUGGACUGAAACCGAACAGACGCACAAACUAUGGACCACCCUGGAGCCUAUCAUCACCUCUUAACAAAUCUAACCGCAUUGUUCUAAUUGUUCAUCUGGGUGGCCGCAGUUCGUAUGAACAACCACGAGGUGGCAGCCAUAUUGUUUGGACGUCGAGUUCAUGGUACUGAAAUCAGACACUGAAACUCCCAAACACCGCUAGACUUCCAUUAUCGCCUGCAUUUGUUUCUACACCACCUGGAAGGGCACUGUUGGAAUCGUUCGUCUGGAUGAGGGGAACAAGCUACACGGUAUGAUUAUUGACUACAUUCGGUAGUUUGUUCAUUUUUUAAACUACUGAACUUGAUCAACCGCUACCACUUUUUCCCUGGAACUGUUUUGGGCAUAGGACCAUGUGUGCGGUCGGUCAAAUUAUGACUGCCAUGAAAAACCCGAACCCCUGGACCAAUCUGGGUUAUUUUUGGAUACGUUGGUCACCCAGAUCGGGGCUAUCAGGGGAUGUGACUUUUGUGGGGUUUUUGUUUGUGUUUUAGGGGUACUUUUGGAGUGUUUGUAAAUUGUAUGUUUUUCUGUACCUGGAAAUAAUUGAGUUUGUACAGUUCCUGACUCAAUUAUCUCUCAGGCACAGGGGAGGAGUUUGUUACUUGUAUAAAUUCUGUAACUCUGCUGCCAUUAAACAGACUACUUCACAGCAUUAAGCCUUGGCUCAUGUAUGGGGAGAACAGCUAUACUUGCUAUAUCUGCUAUACUCUCUGGGAGCUGGAUGGUCCAGGAUUGGCAGAGACGGGGAGACCCCAGCCGAGAUGUGGCAGCUAGGGACUGGAAGUGCUUAUGGUGUCCUGGUGCAGUGCUUAUAGUACUCGGUGAUAACUAGGAAGUGUGAGUUGGCGGAAGUACCUAGUCGGGGUACCAGGCGGUCCGCCACAGCUGUGUAUUGUGUAAUAACAAAGAGACGAUCGGACACUGUGUAUUGUGUAAUAACGGAGAGAUGAUAGGAUGCUGUGUAUUGUGUAAUAACAGAGAGACGACAGGACGCUGUGUAUUGUGUAAUAACGGAGAGACGAUAGGACACUGUGUAUUGUGUAAUAACGGAGAGACGAUAGGACACUGUGUAUUGUGUAAUAACGGAGAGACGAGUGUAUUGUGUAAUAACGGAGAGACGAUAGAACGCUGUAUAUUGUGUAAUAACGGAGAGACGAUAGGACGCUGUGUAUUGUGUAAUAACGGAGAGACGAUAGGACACUGUGUAUUGUAUAAUAACGGAGAGACGAUAGGACGCUGUGCAUAGUGUAAUAACGGAGAGACGAUAGGACGCUGUGUAUUGUGUAAUAACGGAGAGACGAUAGAACGCUGUAUAUUGUGUAAUAACGGAGAGACAAUAGGACGCUGUGUAUUGUAUAAUAACGGAGAGACGAUAGAACGCUGUAUAUUGUGUAAUAACGGAGAGACGAUAGAACGCUGUAUAUUGUAUAAUAACGGAUAGACGAUAGGACGCUGUGUAUUGUAUAAUAACGGAGAGACGAUAGGACGCUGUGUAUUGUAUAAUAACGGAGAGACGAUAGGACGCUGUGUAUUGUGUAAUAACGGAGAGACGAUAGGACGCUGUGUAUUGUGUAAUAACGGAGAGACGAUAGGACGCUGUGUAUUGUGUAAUAACGGAGAGACAAUAGGACACUGUGUAUUGUGUAAUAACGGAGAGACGAUAGGACGCUGUGUAUUGUGUAAUAACGGAGAGACGAUCGAGAACAGUGUAUGAGCUAAUCAUGAAGUUAUAGGAGGCAGAAAUAAUUGGGUAAUUGUCAAGUUAUGAUGGGCAGCAAUGCUUUGGGUAAUUAUUUAACAAUGAUAUCACGCAGUAAAUUGGGUGGCUGUAGAUUGUGGUGUAUGAAGAUCAAGUAUGAAGAAUGGGGUCUAGUGAAGAAUUAUCAUUCAUGUGGUCAAGUGGUUUAGAACUUACCCAGAUUAUUGUUACAGGUCUAAAUAUUGGUUUUUUCGCAAAGCAUGUGACACUGCGAGAAAAAGGGGUCCACUGGGACUCCAGGCUAGGGAUUCUUUUUCUGAACAAUCACACAAUAUUGUUAUAUAUGUGCUCAGUUAAAGGGCAUGAUUAUCAUUAUUAGAAAUUUGUGCUGAUCAGUACCUUAAAGUUGGUGAUAAAUUAAUGUUCUAUGACAAAAAUUUUAAAUUGUACUAAAAGUUUGCAAUCUAGAUGGGAUGAUGUACUGUAUUUGUAAUAGGUUGUGUUGGAUAUUGCCUCAUUUUGUAUACGAGAGAUUGCAAUAUAUAGUUUCAGCACAACAUAUGUCUCUACAGAGUGAGUGCACGUUCCCCUCAUUUCCCGGAGGAGUUGUUGGCGAGGCCCCGGGGAGAUGCCUGCGGCUGGCACCCGUGAAGAAGGAGAGCAAAGUGAAAGCACCCAAAUAAAAGGAACUGCAGUCUGGACUGUUCUGACCCUUAAGCCUUUGUCUGAGCCCACAAAAAUACAGCCCUAUUAUAUGUACACCCAGCUUGACUGAAUCCUUAUUACGCCAAAAGAAAGAGGAGUCAACCAGAGCAAACAGAGUUAGAAUAGCAAAG